rnacentral:rRNA from 1 species
GAUUUGCUCGAUAUCAAACAUCCGCCCGGGGACUACGAGCGCCAGCUUGAAACCCAAAGGACUUGGCGGUGCCUUAGACCCCCCUAGAGGAGCCUGUUCUGUAACUGAUGCCCCCCGUUUAACCUCACCCUCCCUUGCUCUUCCCGCCUAUAUACCGCCGUCGUCAGCUCACCCUGCGAAGGACUUCAAGUGAGCAAAAUUGGCCAAUCCCUAAAACGUCAGGUCGAGGUGUAGCACAUGAGAGGGGAAGAAAUGGGCUACAUUCGUUUAUCAACGCACACGAAUGACUUAUUGAAACAUUAAUCUGAAGGAGGAUUUAGCAGUAAGAAAGGACUAGAGAGCCC